GGCUAGAAUGGCAUAGUUGUUUGAGAAUUAGACUAUGACUCUGGAGAUCAGGGUUCAAUUCCCAGUUCAGCCA